rnacentral:rRNA from 1 species
AAAUUGAAGCAGUUCGAUCAUGGCUCAGAUUGAACGCUGGCGGCAGGCCCGCAUUUCCACAUGCGUCGAACGGUACAGGAAGCAGCUUGCCGCUUCGCCGACGAGUGGCGGACGGGUGAGUAAUGUCUUUCGUGGUGUCUGAUGGAGGGGAUAACUACCGGAAAACGCAUAAUACCGCAUAACGUCGCAAGACCAAAGAGGGGACCUUCGGGCUCUUGCCAUCAGAUGUGCCCAGAUGGGAUUAGCUUGUUGGUGAGGUAACGGCCACCAAGGCGCGACGAUCCUCAGCUGGUCUGAGGAUGACCAGCCACACCCGGAACUGAGACACGGUCCAGACCGCAGGCAGCAGUGGGGAAAUAUUAUAACAAUGCUGCAAGCCUGAUGCAGCCAUGCCGCGGGCGAAGAAGGCCUGGGUUGUAAAGUACUUUCAGCGGAGGGUGCUGCGGUUACCAACCGCCAGCAAUUUAUCGCGUUACUGCAGAAGAAGCACCCCAUAACUCCGCGCCAGCAGCCGCGGUAAUACACGGAGUGGUGCAAGCGUUAAUCGGAAUUACCGCGCAAAAGCGCACGCAGGCGGCCCGUCAAGUCGGAUGUGAAAUCCCCGGCUCAACCUCGGGAACUGCAUUCGAAACUUGGCAGGCUUGAGUCUUGUAGAGGUAGAAUUCCGUGUAGCGGCGAAACGCAGAGAUCUGAGGAAGCUCGCCUGGUGGCGAAGGCGGCCCCCGGACAAAGACUGACGCUCAGGUGCUGAAAGCGUGGGGAGCAACAGGAUUAGAUACCCGGUAGUCCACGCCGUAAACGAUGUUCGCUUGGAGGUUGUGCCCUUGAGGCGUGGCUUCCGUGGAUAACGCGUUGGCAGAAUCGCCCUCGGGAAAGUACGGCCGCAAGGUUAAAAACUCAAAUGAAUUCGACGGGCCCGCACAAGCGGUGAGCAUGUGGUUUAAUUCGGAUGCAACGCGAAGAACCCACCGGUCUUGACAUCCAUCACUUGAAGUUUUCAGAGAUGAGAAUGUGUCAGGAACCGUGAGACAGGUGCUGCAUGGCUGUCGUCAGCUCGUGUUGUGAAACGUUGCUAAGUCCCGCAACGAUAAGUAAACCCUUAUCCUUUGCUUUUCGCCAGCGGUCCGGCCGUAAACUCAAAGCAAGACUGCCAGUGAUAAACCUUGAGGAAGGUGGGGAUGACGUCGGCGUCAUCAUGGCCCCUACGACCGUGGCUGGCCACACGUGCUGGCCAAUGGCGCAUACAAAGAGUAGCGACUGGCGAGAGCAAGCGGACCUCAUAAAGCGCGUCGUGUCCGGAUUGAGUCUGCAACUCGUGGACCUACGGCCGGGAAUCGCUAGUAAUCGUGGACCAGAAUGCCACGUUCCGGGCCUUGUACACACCGCCCGUCACAAUCAUGGGAGUGGGUUGCAAAAGAAGUAGCCAACCCGAAAAGUGCCUACCACCCUAGUAGAUUCUGCAUCAGCAAAGUCGUAACAAGGUAACCGGAAACCUGCGGUUGGAUCAAUACCUCC